UACGUAGGGGGCGAGCGUUGUCCGGAUUUAUUGGGCGUAAAGAGCUCGUAGGCGGUCUGUCGCGUCGAUCGUGAAAACUUGGGGCUUAACCCUGAGCUUGCGGUCGAUACGGGCAUGACUGGAGUUCGGCAGGGGAGACUGGAAUUCCUGGUGUAGCGGUGAAAUGCGCAGAUAUCAGGAGGAACAUCGGUGGCGAAGGCGGCUACCUGGACGGGUACUGACGCUGAUGCGCGAAAGCUAGGGGAGCAAACGGG
rnacentral:rRNA from 1 species